ACGCUACUGUCUGAGGGUCGUGAUGGAGGGGGAAUCUGUCAUUAUAAAGGACCUUAUAAAUAGCAUUGUUGUAGGCUAGCAGUGACAACAUUCAGCCGAGUAGUUAUGCGAUGUUAUAUCUAUGGCGACUGCAAGAAUGAAAACUGCUAAACUAUCACUUUUAUUCAAGGGAUAAAUAAC